UCCGUCCUACGGGAGGCAGCAGUGGGGAAUAUUGGGCAAUGGAGGAAACUCUUACCCAGCAAUGCCGCGUGAAUGAAGAAGGUCUUCGGAUUGUAAAGUUCUUUAAUUGGGGACGAAAAAAAUGACGGUACCCAAGGAAUAAGCCCCGGCUAACUACGUGCCAGCAGCCGCGGUAAUACGUAGGGGGCAAGCGUUGUUCGGAAUGACUGGGCGUAAAGGGGGCGUAGGCGGCGUAGCAAGUUAGAAGUGAAAUACCUAGAGCUUAACUCA
rnacentral:rRNA from 1 species